rnacentral:lncRNA from 1 species
CCUCCUCCUUGGGUUGAGCUAAGACACACCUGACAACUUCCAAUCUUUUUCAGGCUCUAGUCUCAGUAGUUCUAAGGUUUGUUUAGUUUUCUCAUAUUUUUCGAUCAGAUCUAAGUUUGAUUCAUAUACUUUCUUCUCUUCAGAUUCUAUUACCUCAAGCUUGUUAGUAUCAAGUUCAGGCUCAUCGAUAAAAAGGUCACGAGUAGGGCACUGAGCUGCUACAUGACCAAAUUCUUGACACCUAAAGUACCUUAUGACUCUCGAUCCCUCUCC